AUUGAACGCUGGCGGCAGGCCUAACACAUGCAAGUCGAGCGGAUGAAGGGAGCUUGCUCCUGGAUUCAGCGGCGGACGGGUGAGUAAUACCUAGGAAUCUGCCUGGUAGUGGGGGAUAACGUCCGGAAACGGGCGCUAAUACCGCAUACGUCCUGAGGGAGAAAGUGGGGGAUCUUCGGACCUCACGCUAUCAGAUGAGCCUAGGUCGGAUUAGCUAGUUGGUGGGGUAAAGGCCUACCAAGGCGACGAUCCGUAUCUGGUCUGAGAGGAUGAUCAGUCACACUGGAACUGAGACACGGUCCAGACUCCUACGGGAGGCAGCAGUGGGGAAUAUUGGACAAUGGGCGAAAGCCUGAUCCAGCCAUGCCGCGUGUGUGAAGAAGGUCUUCGGAUUGUAAAGCACUUUAAGUUGGGAGGAAGGGCAGUAAGUUAAUACCUUGCUGUUUUGACGUUACCAACAGAAUAAGCACCGGCUAACUUCGUG
rnacentral:rRNA from 1 species